rnacentral:rRNA from 1 species
GACGAACGCUGGCGGCGUGCUUAACACAUGCAAGUCGAACGGAACGGCCCCAGCUUGCUGGAGUCCUCGAGUGGCGAACGGGUGAGUAACACGUGGGUAAUCUGCCCUUCACUCUGGGGUAAGCCUGGGACACUGGGUCUAAUACUGGCUAUGAUCUUUCUCCUUAUGGUGUUUGGUGGAAAGUUUUUCUGUGUAGGAUGAGCCAGCGGCAUAUACGCUUGUUUGCAGGGUUAUUUCGUACCAAUGCUACGACGGGUUGCCUGCCUGAUAGGGUGAGCAGCCACAUUGGAACUGGGAUACGGCCCAGACUCCUACGGGAGGCAGGAGUGGGGUGUAGUGCACUAGGGGCUGAGGCCUGAUGCAGCGACGCCGUGUGGGGGAUGACGGCCUUCGCGUUGUAUACCUCUUUCAUCUGGGACGAAGCGUAAGUGACGGUACCUGCAGAAGAAGCACCGGCUAACUACGUG